rnacentral:rRNA from 1 species
AGGCGCGAAAACUUCGCAAUGCGCGAAAGCGUGACGAGGUUAGCCCGAGUGCCAUCCGAUGAGGAUGGCUUUUCUUUGGUGUAAGGAGCCAGGGGAAUAAGAGGAGGGUAAGUCUGGUGUCAGCCGCCGCGGUAAUACCAGCUUCUCGAGUGGUGGGGGCGAUUAUUGGGCCUAAAGCGUCCGUAGCCUGCUUGUUAAGUCCCUCGUCAAAUCCGACGAUUCAAUCGCCGGGCUGCGGGGGAUACUGUCAAGCUAGGGGGCGGAAGAGGCUAGCGGUAUUCUUGGGGUAGGGGUGAAAUCCUAUAAUCCUAGGAGGACCACCAGUGGCGAAGGCGGCUAGCUAGAACGCGCCCGACGGUGAGGGACGAAAGCUGGGGGAGCAAACCGGAUUAGAUACCCGGGUAGUCCCAGCUGUAAACGAUGCAGACUAGGUGUUGGAACGGCUACGUGCCGCUUCAGUGCCGCAGAGAAGUCAUUAAGUCUGCCGCCUGGGGAGUACGGCCGCAAGGCUGAAACUUAAAGGAAUUGGCGGGGGAGCAC